GCGUCGUAAGGCCCAGCCUUGUGUUGAGAUCUCCUUCGCCAGGAUUUCUCCAAACCCAUCGGCGACGUCAGUGCCGGAACCGCAGCACAAAUGUGACUACGGCUUCUGGCGCCGCCCAAAAUCGUCAU
rnacentral:misc_RNA from 1 species